AUUCAGCUGACGAGUCUCAAAUAGGACGAAACAUGUAUCAAAUUGGAU
rnacentral:hammerhead_ribozyme from 1 species